AUUUGUCUGGUUAAUUCCGAUAACGAACGAGACCUUAACCUGCUAACUAGAUUCUUCUAUAUUAUAGAUGAUAUCUUCUUAGAGGGACUAUGUAAUACAAAUACAUGGAAGUUUGAGGCAAUAACAGGUCAGUGAUGCCCUUAUAUGUCCUGGGCUGCACGCGUGCUACACUGAUGCAUACAACAAGUGCCUAACCAGACAUGGUAUGGCAAUCUCGAAUAUGCGUCGUGAUGGGGAUAGAUCUUUGCAAUUAUAGAUCUUGAACGAGGAAUUCCUAGUAAGUGCAAGUCAUCAUCUUGCAUUGAUUAUGUCCCUGCCCUUUGUACACACCGCCCGUCGCUCCUACCGAUACCGGGUGAUCCGGUGAACCUUUUGGACUCAUUUGGGAAAGAUAAGUAAACCAUAUCACCUAGAGGAAGGAGAAGUCGUAACAAGGUUUCCGUAGGUGAACCUGCRGAAGGAUCA
rnacentral:rRNA from 1 species